rnacentral:tRNA from 1 species
GGCCUUGUGGCCUAAUGGAGAAGCCGUCGGACAUCGGAUCUGAAGAUUGCAGGUUCGAGUCCUGCCAGGGUCG